GAAUACAAGGGUAAGGGCCACACGUUGGGCCGGGGCCGGAGUGUGUGUGUGUGCACGCGCGCGUUUGCCUGGUUCUCGAAGGGCUGGCAUUGACAGUGGCUGUGCUGCUCUUUUCAAGGGAACCUGCUGCUGAAACCCAUCGUGGAAGUUGCAGGCCAGGAUAUCAGCCACUGGUUUGAUCCAAAGACCAGAGACAUCCGCAAGCACAUAGAUCCGCUGACCGGCUGCCUGAGGUACUGCACCCCGCGGGGCCGCUUUGUGCACGUUCCGCCUCAGCUGCCCUGUUCGGACUGGGCCAACGAUUUUGGGAAGCCCUGGUGGCAGGGGUCGUAUUAUGAGGUGGGGCGGCUGUCUGCCAAGACCCGGAGCAUCCGCAUCAUUAACACGCUCACGUCGCAGGAGCACACACUGGAGGUGGGGGUUCUGGAGUCCAUAUGGGAAAUCCUACACCGCUAUCUCCCCUAUAACUCACAUGCUGCCAGCUACACGUGGAAAUAUGAAGGGAAGAACCUGAACAUGGAUUUUACCCUGGAAGAGA
rnacentral:lncRNA from 1 species